rnacentral:rRNA from 1 species
GAGUUAUAUUAAACUUAAUGGCAUAAUUAACUUAACUUAUAUAUAAUGGGAUUAAUUUUUAGUCUAUUUUUUUAAAUAGUCAAUUAAUUCAAUCCCGGGGCGUUCCAUAUAGUUAUGUAUAAUAAUAAUUUAUUAUUAUUUAUACCUCUAACUGGAGCGUACCUUGAGCAUAUAUGCUGUGACCCGAAAGAUGGUGAACUAUACUUGAUCAGGUUGAAGUCAGGGGAAACCCUGAUGGAAGACCGAAACAGUUCUGACGUGCAAAUCGAUUGUCAGAAUUGAGUAUAGGGGCGAAAGACCAAUCGAACCAUCUAGUAGCU